rnacentral:lncRNA from 1 species
UCAGCUUCUAAAAAUGAGGGAGGUAACUGCACCUACAGCCUGUGACACUGUGGAAUUUAGGCACAACGACGUGCUUGGCCUGGACCAAAGAAAAGACAAAAGACUGCUGUCUCUCUCUGGAGCUCAUUCCACGAGUGCUCCAGGUGAACUUUAAUAAUCUACAUUUUAGUGAACUCCUAGGAGAGCCAGACAACACCUUCUGAGAAGCCGUACUAUGACAUUAAGACUGUGUAUCCUGUAGAUAAAGCUGUGAAUUCAGACCUGGACCUGAAUACAGGCUCCACCACUGCUUC